AGUGAACGCUGGCGGCGUGCCUAACACAUGCAAGUCGAACGAUGAUGGAGGAGCUUGCUCUUCCUGAUUAGUGGCGCCCGGGUGAGUAUACCAUAGAUAAUGUACCUCUUAGUUCGGAAUAGCCACUGGAACCGGCGAUUAAUACCGGAUACUCCUUCGUGUCCUAAGGCAAGUCGGGAAAGUUUUUUCGCUAAGAGAACAGUCUAUGUCCUAUCAGACAGGUGGUGAGGUAAUGGCUCACCAAGGCAAAGACGGGUAUCUGGUUUGAGAGGGAGAUCAGACACACUGGAACUGAGACACGGUCCAGACUCCUACGGGAGGCAGCAGUGAGGAAUAUUGCACAAUGGAGGAAACUCUGAUGCAGCAACGCCGCGUGGAGGAUGACGCAUUUCGGUGUGUAAACUCCUUUUAAGAGGGAAGAUGGUGACGGUACCUCUUGAAUAAGCACCGGCUAACUCCGUGCCAGCAGCCGCAGUAAGAC
rnacentral:rRNA from 1 species